GUAGGGAAUAUUGCACCAUGGGCGAAAGCCUGAUGCAGCAACGCCGCGUGAGUGAUGAAGGCCUUCGGGUCGUAAAACUCUUUUCAAGGGGAAGAGGAAGGACGGUACCCUUGGAAUAAGCAUCGGCUAACUACGUGCCAGCAGCCGCGGUAACACGUAGGAUGCAAGCGUUAUUCGGAUUUACUGGGCGUAAAGCGCGUGUAGGCGGUUAGGAGAGUUGGAUGUGAAAGCUCCCGGCUUAACUGGGAGAGGUCGUUCAAAACUUCCUGACUAGAGUUUGGUAGAGGAAAAUGGAAUUCCGGGUGUAGUGGUGAAAUGCGUAGAUAUCCGGAGGAACACCAGUGGCGAAAGCGAUUUUCUGGACCGAUACUGACGCUCAGACGCGAAAGCUAGGGUAGCAAACGGGAUUAGAAACCCCAGUAGUCC
rnacentral:rRNA from 1 species